ACCUGGUUAGAUCAGUUGGUAGAGCGCUCCAUUGGAAAUGGAGAGGUAUACCAGGUUCGAUACCAGGACCGGGCG
rnacentral:tRNA from 2 species